GAGGAUGCACAACUGUAAGAGAAAGAAAGAAAAGAGAACGAGUGACGAGAGAAGGAAGGAGAAGAACAAAGGGUGAAACAAGUGAAUGAGUCUCUCCUCACACCCCUGGCAUGCAUGGUUGAGAUGAAAUCCUUAAAGGGGAUUACAAUACUUUGAAUCGUUGUUCCUAUGCACAUCAUAAUUUUGCAUUUUCAUUGGGAAAACUUACUAACCCAUCUCUUUUUGUCUUGUUGCCUAGGAAAGACUUGUACAUUAAGGAGCAAUGGCAUAAGCAAUGGGGUGAAGAAGAGAGGAUAGAGAAAGAAGAAACAAGAGUGGAAAAAUAUGAAACUAUUGUUGAAAAUAUGCUUGUUUGUUUGUCAUGUUCGUCUUUGACCCUAAAGGAAAAUCUCCAAGCACAUUGAUAAUAAGAGAUUUGCCUCUCCCAAGAUUCCAAUCUCAUUUUAGAUAGCAUUUUAUUUUUAUCUUUAAACUAUUCUUGUUUUACGUGCUUUUAGCACUUAUGUUUGUGUGUUUGGUUGUAUGUAAUAAAGUGUUAAAAGUCGAGGUUGAAUUUUCUCCAACCUAAAGGCAAUGAUGGAGGCGUGGUUCGGGACCAUCAUGGGGAUUUCAAAGUAAUUGAUUGAAUCAUGCCUAUGACCUUUAAAGUGAUCUUGGAUUGGCUUCAGAUCAUAGAA